AGAAAAUCUCCCAGUAGGCACACGCACACAGACACAGAUAGAACUGUAGCCAUUCAACUGGUCCACAUAAACUAAAGAAGAUAUUGUAGAGAUCAUAGUAAUCAUGAAGUUAUAUAAUAAUUUAAUAACAAAAAUUUGGUAUAAAACUUACGUUUAUUUUCAUUUCUGUUUCAUUCCCCGUUUUGUAAUAAAAAUUAUCCGAGCGUCUCUGAACGUAUCUUGAUCAACUUUAAACUGCGCAACGUUUUUUAAUCGCAGCAGGUUGUUGGUUGUAGGAGUCAGGCUGGAGUGUAACAUCACCUUUGACACAUCGCUGAUACAACGUCGACCCUGGACCAGAGGCUCAAUGCUGACCUGGAAGCAGACAUCCAGUGCCUGAACCACCAAAACCACCAGGUAGCAUUUAAUCACACAGAGGCUCGAAGCAUGAACAGCCCGUCCACCAACAGACUUUAACUGCUGUUGCUACUGAGAUUGUGAUGCACUAAAAAGGAUAAAAAUGACCGGAUUGUCUCUGAGCUUCCCGUUCAAACUGUACCGCACUGCACUUCACACUCCCUUCAGAUCGCAGCGUGGACUUUGUCUUUAAUCGAUCUUCAUUUGGUAAGUACUUAAUAAUCUUUUGCUUAUUCUAUCCUGUGAUUAUUACGCGCUUGCUGACUUCUGUAGUUGUAAUUGUGUGUCUUUAAAAAAUCGUUUGCUUCUUUGUAAAUUAAGUGAAGAUACCAAGCAUGAUUGUAAAGUUAGGGCAGAACCUGACUGUUUGCUUAUUUAACUUAUUUGCUGUGCUGUUCUAUUAAUCAUAUUUCUUUGUUUUAUUAUUGCGUACUUAGAGAGAGAGAGAGAGAGAGAGAGGAAUAUAAAUGUCAAUGUAAUGAAAGCUAUGUGUUAAAUUAUGCAUUGGCUCAGUCAGUUACUAGAGUAAUCUUUGUUUUGGGACAAUAAGAGGGGUCUGAGGAGGGGGGGGGCUUGCUUCAGUUUUAAGGUAGCCUUAUUGUUGGCAAGUUUUUGGUAGUUUUUAAUGUGAAGCUGGCGGCGCAUUUGACUCAGCAGUCUGCUAACGUGUUGCUCUCGCUGUAGCAACAUUAGCUUCUCUGUUUCAGCAAUGUCAGGCUGGAAAAAUGUGCAGGCUGUUCUGUUGGGAGAUGCAGUGACUUAAACCAGUGGUCACUUGGACUCUAAAGUGUGAUUUCAUCAUGUUUACUGUGUCAGUUCUCAGUAAUGAGCCCCAGCGGAGCUCCACCCUUUACCAGCUUCAUCAGCAGCAGCUUUUUCCGUCUGUAACAUGACACAGGAGGCUUCUGUCUGUGUGGACACUUGGACACUCGGGAGGCUCCAACCAGUUUCACUAACAGGCCAAUUAGCACCCUCUGGAUCACAAGGAAUCAUGGGAGGACACGCUUCUGUGUCCGUUGUUAAUGAACAGAGCAGCUUCAGGCCUUUGUUUUGGUGUUUAUGCUCCUGUGUAGUUUUGUUUCUCUUUUUUCUUGCAUACUUUGUCCAUCACAUGUAAAGUCAGAUUUGAAUUUUAGCCCACUGACCUUGUUUCACCCACAGGAAGCUCAGCUCCCUUCAACAGUCUGGACCACUGAUUCAGUGGAGGCACAUGUUAGGAAAUGAUUAAAAAUGUGUUACCUCUCAAAUUCAAAUUCUUGAAUUGAAAUGGUUAUCUGCAAUAAUAAACUCCAAAUCAUUCAUAGUUAAACUGGUCAUUCAGUGUGUUAAAUGAAUGGGAAACAAAUAACUCCACAUAUGUUCUAAUAUGAAAUAAUAUCAAUAAAUUUGUAACUGUGGGGUUUGUUUAGAAGUUGGUUCAAGAAGGGACCUCAUUACCUGCUGUGAAGUGUUAGGAUUGGAUACCUACUGUAACUCCUACUUCUAAGUGUACUGACUGAAUUAUGCUGCCUGUACUGAAAGGCCUGAAAGGACUUCUGAGUGAGGGAGUAAUUAGAGAAAAGAGAGAAGAGAGCAGGACUACAUGACCCCUGCUGAUGUGGCUGUGUAAUGAGGCUUUUCAAAACUCGCCUGAGUCAGCACUCACUGUCAUA